UCAAAUCGUUGACUAUGUCUGAAUAUUAUUAUUAUACGAUCUGUUGUUUCCCUUAUCAUUUGCCAUUGUUAGCUUCGCUAAGAAAUGCAAAGGUUAAAUUCCAAGCUGUAAUUCCUACUCCUGGGAAAGGAAAAGCCUCGAAGAAUUACACAGCCACACUUUGGAAUCUGACAAAAAUUCUAACGAUGAGCUCUAGAUAAUAAUGUCGGUAACACAAUAGAUCAAUAUUGCUUGUGGUGCGUAAGGUCAUAAAGACUCCUUUAACCUUAACCUUCAUGCUGCAGGCUCAUCGUAUAUACGCACCCUACCUUACGGACGCAUCAGAGGAUCUAAACUUUACAAGCCAGCUGUGAAGGUCAGAGCAUUUCUGAUUUUACCAUGUUGUCAAUUGUGUUGGCUCUGAAUUAUUAUGCAUUUCACAUUCUUAUGUUAACCUAACUGUGCAAUAACGAACUAUCUACUCUCAUAAAAAAUACAUCAAUGUCAAAUCGAUGGUA